rnacentral:ncRNA from 1 species
UCAUCUGAUGAAAAGGCUUCAAAACCCUGCUGACUUCAGAGUUGGCAAGUAGCCAGCCUAGUGGCAGGAUUUUUCCAAGGCCUUGCCUAUGUGUGGAGGGUUAGUACCAUGACAAAUCCCAUUUCAUGUCUGUUCUCUACCUCAGGCAAAAUAACUGGACCAAUCUAAUUAAUAUUAGAUGAAAUACUGUUAGUAUAAGUAAUAAGAAAAAUUUUCUCCUAGCACAAGUGUAUAACAGAACGAAUAAAUCGCUGAUAGUUAACAAUCAUACAUUUCCACCUAAACUACUAGAACCAAUGUUACUAAUUUAUUGUUAGCCCAACACAGGAGUGCAAACUAGGAAAGAUUAAUAAAUGUAAAAGGAACUCGGCAAACUUAAACCCCGCCUGUUUACCAAAAACAUCACCUCUAGCAUUACCAGUAUUAGAGGCACCGCCUGCCCAGUGACGCAAGUUAAACGGCCGCGGUAUCCUGACCGUGCAAAGGUAGCAUAAUAAUUUGUUCCUUAAUUAGGGACUUGUAUGAAUGGCAUCACGAGGGUUUAACUGUCUCUUACAUUCGAUCAAUGAAAUUGACCUUUCCGUGAAGAGGCGGAAAUAACACAAUAAGACGAGAAGACCCUAUGGAGCUUAAAUUAAUAUUCCAACUUAAACAACUUCAAAUCUAAUCGAUGUAAAAUCUGCAACCACUGGAAUAAACAUUUUGGUUGGGGUGACCUCGGAGCAUAAAAAAACCUCCGAAGGACUAACAUUAAGACCAACUAGUCCAAAUUAUAAAUGUCCAAAUAUUGACCCAGAAAUAAUUCUGAUCAAUGAACCAAGUUACCCUAGGGAUAACAGCGCAAUCUUGUUAAAGAGUUCAUAUCGACAAUAAGGUUUACGACCUCGAUGUUGGAUCAGGACAUCCCAAUGGUGCAGCAGCUAUUAAAGGUUCGUUUGUUCAACGAUUAAAGUCCUACGUGAUCUGAGUUCAGACCGGAGCAAUCCAGGUCGGUUUCUAUCUAUUUACCUAUUUCUCCUAGUACGAAAGGACCAGAGAAAUGAGGCCAACUUUACAAAAGCGCCUUAUACUUAAUAAAUGAUAUUAUAUCAACUUACAAAGUAACUUAACUCACUCAAUUACAUCCCGACAUUAGGGAUUGUUAGAUGGCAGAGCCAGGUAAUUGCA